AGUUGUAAACUAUAGCAAGCAAUCCUGCGGGCGGCUUCGGCUGCUCGUGGGUAACAUGGAUAACCCUGGUAAUUCUGAGGCUAAUACAAGAACGUACUCCCUGGCUGACCGGCAACGGAAGGCUGGGGAGCGUGCAACGUAUCGUAGGGAUAAACCGGGAAUGGGUGCACGCUUGGACCGCGCUAAAGACAGAUCUCGGCGAGCCUUCGGGUGAGCCUUGGCCUGAGCGGCUCUUGCUGUGUGCUUCUGACCUAUCAACUAGACGGCAGCGUAAGGGACAUGCUAUGGUUACAACGGGUACAGAGGAUUAGGGUUCGAUCCUGGAGAGUGGGCCUGAGAGAUU
rnacentral:rRNA from 1 species